GUGCCAGCCGCCGCAGUAAUACGGAGGGUGCAAGCGUUGUCCGGAAUCACUGGGCGUAAAGGGUACGCAGGCGGGGCAGCAAGUUGGAGGUGAAAGCCCAUGGCUCAACCAUGGAAGUGCCUUCGAAACUGUUGCUCUUGGGUCCCGGAGAGGCUGUCGGAAUUCGUGGUGUAGCGGUGAAAUGCGUAGAUAUCACGAGGAACACCAGAGGCGAAAGCGGACAGCUGGACGGGUACUGACGCUCAGGCACGAAAGCGUGGGGAGCAAACAGGAUUAGAAACCCCAGUAGUCC
rnacentral:rRNA from 1 species